CAGACGUGUUACACCAGCGCUUAAUUUGUAGUGAAAGAGAUGCUGGGGUUCAAGCAAUUUUUUACUUUCAUAACUGAUGCGGCAAACCCAGGGGUGCUGGGGCUAUGAACUGCCAAGC